rnacentral:rRNA from 1 species
GAGGGAAACGCCCGGUCACAUUCCGAACCCGGAAGCUAAGACUCUUUGCGCCGAUGGUACUGCAGGGGGGACCCUGUGGGAGAGUAGGACACCGCCGGAC